rnacentral:piRNA from 1 species
AAGUAGUGUGUAAUAAAACUUGUAAU